GCUCACUCCGAGCUCCCGACGUGCACACGGCUCCCAUGCGUUGUCUUCCGAGCGUCAGGCCGCCCCUACCCGUGCUUUCUGCUCUGCAGACCCUCUUCCUAGACCUCCGUCCUUUGUCCCAUCGCUGCCUUCCCCUCAAGCUCAGGGCCAAGCUGUCCGCCAACCUCGGCUCCUCCGGGCAGCCCUCGCCCGGGGUGCGCCCCGGGGCAGGACCCCCAGCCCACGCCCAGGGCCCGCCCCUGCCCUCCAGCCCUACGCCUUGACCCGCUUUCCUGCGUCUCUCAGCCUACCUGACCUUGUCUUUACCUCUGUGGGCAGCUCCCUUGUGAUCUGCUUAGUUCCCACCCCCCUUUAAGAAUUCAAUAGAGAAGCCAGACGCAAAACUACAGAUAUCGUAUGAGUCCAGUUUUGUGAAGUGCCUAGAAUAGUCAAAAUUCACAGAGACAGAAGCAGUGGUCGCCAGGAAUGGGGAAGCAAGGCGGAGUUGGGCAGCUCGUGUUCAAUGGUUUUGUCCGCCUUCCCUGCCUCCUCUUCUGGGGGAGUUAGAUCGAGUUGUAACAAGAACAUGCCACUGUCUCGCUGGCUGCAGCGUGUGGUCCCCUUACCAGAGUGAGGAUGCGAAGAGAAGGUGGCUGUCUGCAAACCAGGAAGAGAGCCCUCACCGGGAACCCGUCCAGCUGCCACCUUGAACUUGGACUUCCAAGCCUCCAGAACUGUGAGGGAUAAAUGUAUGAUUUUAAAGUCGCCCAGUGUGUGGUAUUUUGUUUUGACUAAUACAACCUGAA
rnacentral:lncRNA from 1 species